rnacentral:rRNA from 1 species
UUCCGGUUGAUCCUGCCGGAGGCCAUUGCUAUCGGAGUCCGAUUUAGCCAUGCUAGUCGCACGAGUUCACACUCGUGGCAGAUAGCUCAGUAACACGUGGCCAACCUACCCUGUAGACCAGUAUAACCUCGGGAAACUGAGGCUAAUGCUGGAUACGACUCUCAGACUGGAGUGUCGAGAGCCAGAAAUGCGCCAGCGCUACAGGAUGCGGCUGCGGCCGAUUAGGUAGACGGUGGGGUAACGGCCCACCGUGCCGAUAAUCGGUACGGGUUGUGAGAGCAAGAGCCCGGAGACGGAAUCUGAGACAAGAUUCCGGGCCCUACGGGGCGCAGCAGGCGCGAAAACUUUACACUGCACGACAGUGCGAUAAGGGGACUCCGAGUGCGAGGGCAUAUAGUCCUCGCUUUUCUGAACCGUAAGGUGGUUCAGGAAUAAGGACUGGGCAAGACCGGUGCCAGCCGCCGCGGUAAUACCGGCAGUCCAAGUGAUGGCCGCUAUUAUUGGGCCUAAAGCGUCCGUAGCCAGCCAGACAGGUCCGUCGGGAAAUCCACGUGCUUAACGCGUGGGCGUCCGGCGGAAACCAGUUGGCUUGGGGCCGGAAGACCUGAGGGGUACGUCCGGGGUAGGAGUGAAAUCCUGUAAUCCUGGACGGACCACCGGUGGCGAAAGCGCCUCAGGAAGACGGACCCGACGGUGAGGGACGAAAGCUAGGGUCACGAACCGGAUUAGAUACCCGGGUAGUCCUAGCUGUAAACGAUGCUCGCUAAGUAUGGCGCACACUACGAGUGUGCGCUGUGCUGUAGUGAAGACGAGAAGCGAGCCGCCUGGGAAGUACGUCCGCAAGGAUGAAACUUAAAGGAAUUGGCGGGGGAGCACUACAACCGGAGGAGCCUGCGGUUUAAUUGGAUUCAACGCCGGA